UGGCAAUAAGGAGUUCAUGAUCUGAGCCACUGUCAUCUCCCAGUCUUGUUUUUGCUGACUGUAUAGAGCUUCUCCAUCUUCAGAUGCAAAGAAUAUAAUCAAUCUGAUUUUGGUAUUGACCAUCUGGGGCCGUCCAUGGGUAGAGUCAUCUCUCGUGUUUUUGGAAGAGGGUGUUUGCUCUGUCUAGUGCAUUA